CAGGGUCUUACAAGUCACUAAGUUGUGUAGGCUGGGCUCAAACUUGUGAUCCUCCUGCCUCAGCCUCCUAGAGAGCUGUGAUUGCCAGGGUGUGCUGGUAUCCCUGUAGGGAAAAGUGAAGGCCCAAGAUGGCUGCACUUUGGUUCAGGGUGUGUGUGUGUGUGUGUGUGUUGGGGGUUGACUUCCGGUGGACAUUAAGUCCAAGACAAGACUUCUGCACAGAGGCACCUCAUUGGUCGCAGUGUAAAUAACUGACACAGCCACGGUGCAUGCUGGCACAUGGCCACGACUGUGUGUUUUGGUAUAAAUAUAGGCGAAGUAGCCUAGGACUGCCCCAAGCAGAGAACAGCGGGGCCGCAAGGGCGGCUACACAGAUGGACUGCAGCCGAGCUGCGGAAUGAAGAUGUUUAACCCAGUCCAGGACUCUGCGUCUCCGCCGCCAGCUGCCUGAAUGAUCAUGACCUUCGGAGGUCGGCGGUGGAGGAACGGCGGCGUGGACGCGUCCAGACCGCGGCGCUGCAGAGCGCGGCUGCGGCCCGUGCUGGGGUCCGGACGCAGCGGCAAGGCAAAGCCGCCGCGCUACGGGCCCGGCGCGCAGACUCGGGAGGCG
rnacentral:lncRNA from 1 species